rnacentral:lncRNA from 10 species
UCUCAACGUACUCUGAAUUUGCAUAUGUAGAGAGACUAGAACUGACAGAUUUAUUGCUAAAUGUGCUAACAUUAACCUCAUAGUGCUUAGAGAUACCCAUCAUUACUACUUUCCUAUAGUUUAUUUAUUCUUCUAUUUUAAGCCAACCACUUCAAAAUUUCUUCUCAAGCCUUCACUACCUUCUUUCCAGUCUUCUUUUCCAACAGGAGUCCUUGGUGAAGAGUCCUAAGACUGGGAAGAAGUAGAUUCUGUCUGAGAAGCAAAAAGCAUGAGUAUUCUGCCAUUCCCAAUGUUAAGGCAUUUGGAGUUGAAAUAGGAAGAUGCAAAGAGUUUGAUUCAGCCCAACCAAC